UGCUAUGGAGACAUAGCGGAGGUAUUCGGGAGGACAGGUGGUGCAUGGUUGUCGUCAGCUCGUGUCGUGAGAUGUUGGGUUAAGUCCCGCAACGAGCGCAACCCCUAUCUUUAGUUGCCAUCAUUGAGUUGGGCACUCUAAAGAGACUGCCGGUGUCAAACCGGAGGAAGGUGGGGAUGACGUCAAGUCCUCAUGGCCUUUAUGACCAGGGCUACACACGUACUACAAUGGCCGGUACAAAGGGCAGCGACACAGCGAUGUGAAGCGAAUCCCGAAAAGCCGGUCUCAGUCCGGAUUGGAGUCUGCAACUCGACUCCAUGAAGUUGGAAUCGCUAGUAAUCGCGGAUCAGCACGCCGCGGUGAAUACGUUCCCGGGCCUU
rnacentral:rRNA from 1 species